CGGGGGGAGCAAGCGUUGUUCGGAUUUACUGGGCGUAAAGGGCGCAUAGGCGGCGUGACAAGUCACUUGUGAAAUCUCCGGGCUUAACCCGGAGCGGCCAAGUGAUACUGUCGUGCUAGAGUGCGGAAGGGGCUACUGGAAUUCUCGGUGUAGCGGUGAAAUGCGUAGAUAUCGAGAGGAACACCUGCGGCGAAGGCGGGUAGCUGGGCCGACACUGACGCUGAUGCGCGAAAGCCAGGGGAGCGAACGGGAUUAGAUACCCCGGUAGUCCUGGCCUUAAACGAUGGAUACUUGGUGUCCGGGGUUACAUAGUCCCCGGGUGCCGGCGCUAACGCAUUAAGUAUCCCGCCUGGGGAGUACGGUCGCAAGACUG
rnacentral:rRNA from 1 species